CACCUACGUAGAAUUUGUGCUGCGCUUUUCUAGCGGAGAGAGAUUAUGCCCUCCAGGUUGCCUAGCGCCGUAUAACCAACAUCACAAUGACUAUAUGUCGAUCACCACUUGACAAAAAGAAGCUUGUCGUCUGCUUGAUUGGUACUACGCCGACGCAGAAGGAAAAUUUCGCAUCUGAUGCCGCUUCCACAAGCGCUAGUUGGUCGCCAUAUGAGUGAAAUUUCUAUGUACUACGUUAUUCAUGUUGGAAGAAUAGAUUUGAGUGUAAAGACGCCAUUAAUUCAUGCUGUGUUGUGCAUAGGAUUUAAAUAAAGUCUUGACACAUUCGAAAAUGGAGAGUGUGUCGUAGAAGAAUAGUCGUUAUGAUCUAAUACAAAGGUGGGAGUAAAGGAGUGCCGAUUAGACAUUUCGUCAAUGGCAUUGUGAUGGUCAUUUCUGUAUACCUGAUUAGGGAGCGUGACAGAUUGCACAUUGAUGUUGGGCAAGUAUGAGUUACUUGCGUUGGUAACAUUUUGAGUUCUGGACACGUGCUUAAGAACUGAGAAAGAUGUCUACCCUCUCACCAGUGUUGGUUGACAGUCCAAGCGAGAGGUGAUGUCAUAUGCGGUGGAAACUGUGUAGUGGAUUUUUUAUGGGGUUAUGCUUUUCCUGCAGAAAGUCUAGACUGAACAGUGUAAAGUCUGAACAUUUUUCUGCAUCUGCAACACCACUCCAUGUUUGUGUCGAGGAACAAAGAGAACCAGAACUGGGUUCGUCUUCUAAAGAAAUUUGCCAGUACACAAGUUACAUAAGGAUGGCAAACACUAUGUCAAACAUGAAGAUGACUAAUCCAAUUAAAGGUCUCGUCAGUAAGAGACGGAAAAGAUACACUCAAGAUGGAUUUAAUUUGGAUCUUACCUAUAUUAGAGCAAACUUAAUUGCCAUGGGUUUUCCUGCUGAGAAAUUGGAAGGAGUGUAUAGAAAUCACAUCGAUGAUGUUGUCAAACUUUUGGAAGCCAAACAUAAAGAUCAUUACAAAAUUUAUAAUUUGUGUUCAGAGCGUUCAUAUGACGUUACAAAGUUCCAACAGCGGGUUGCCAUUUAUCCAUUUGAUGAUCACAACCCUCCAAAGAUGGAACUUAUUGGACCAUUUUGCACUGAUGUGCACAAUUGGCUGUCAGAGGACCACAGGAAUGUUGCAGCUGUUCACUGUAAAGCAGGAAAGGGCCGUACCGGUGUAAUGGUGUGUUGCUACAUGCUACACAGUAGACAGUUUCCAACAGCCAAUGAGGCACUGAAUUUCUAUGGUCAGGCAAGGACCCAUGAUAGAAAGGGUGUGACCAUUCCUAGCCAGCGACGUUACGUUGGUUAUUAUGCAUCUUUAGUACAAGAACAGUUGAACUAUCAUCCAGUGACACUUCUCAUCAAAGAAAUUCACUUGGAACCCAUGCCAACGCUUAAUGGAGGACAGGCCUGUCUUCAGUUAGUGAUCUCCGAAUCGAGUAAAAAAGUGUUCUCAUCGCCAGUAUAUGAAGUGAAGAAAGGUUCUCCCUCUUUCCACAUCUCCUUGGAUCAGUGUAUACCUUUGCAAGGUGAUAUCAAGGUUGAGUUCUUCAACAAACCCAAGAUGAAACGGAAAGAGAAACUGUUUCAUUUUUGGUUCAACACAUUCUUUGUUCGUGAAGAAGUACAAGUACCUGAGGCGCCAGUGAAUGGAAAUGAGGAUAUGGGUAUGGUCCCUCCUCCUGAACGUUCUAGCCGAGCCAUGAGCUGUGAUGAGCAAUCCCAUGUGCCACCUCUGAACAUCCGGCAACCCAGGACGGGUUCCCUUGCAUCACUGGAGCCAAACAUGAAGAUGUUGGUGCUACAGCUCGAUAAAUGGGGACUUGAUGAUGCCCAUAAAGAUAAACAGAAUAAAAUAUACACCUCUGAUUUUAAGGUGAGUUUGUUCCUUCACCGAGUUCCCACAGAGUUGGGUUCAGGUACACCAAUGGAGCAGUGCUGGUCAUGUGCCAGGCAGUCCACCAAGUGCCAGGACACGCCAAGUGGGUCAUCAGGGAAUGAUUCAAGUCAGUCUGAUACAGCCGAAGAGGAGGAAGAAGAGGAUGGUUGGGAAUCAGUUACAAAGACGAAAGUUUGUGAAAUGGAGCAUUUAUGACCUGGCAAGCCGGCCUUUCCCAGUCGAGGCAGGAGGGAGGCAAGUGUAACGGGUAUUCUCCUAUUGUACUCCAUCUUACUAUAAGGUGAAUCUACCUACCUGUGACAUUCCUCCACCCUCUACCUCCUUGUCUGUGCCCGCCCAGUGCAGCGGGACGCACUAUCCUGGUGCUUGGCUACUACUAACACAUCCAUCAUCUGGCAUGACGUUGGGUCCUCCUCACUCGCUCGCCUGCAGCAAGGCUGAUGUACAAUGCUACCGCAUGUGUGCCUAGCUGUAUCCUUUUAGUUUGGAACAUAAAAAAGUGAAUUCCUUAUUUUAUUUUUUAUGAAGAGAAAGUGUGUGCAUGUGUGUGUUAAAUUUUAAGUGCUCCUGCAUAUAUACAUGUAUAGAGAGAGAAAGACAUACAUAUUUUUGGACACAAAUAUUAAAAAUUAAUUGAAUAUUUUUCUUUAUAAUUGGUAUCGUAUCCAGUCUUCACUUCUUUCAUACCAACAGGUUUAGAUACUGUGAAAUGUAUAGUACUGUAAUUUCUGUCAUCUGUCAAAGCUGUCUUUAUUCUUAGGCCUUAAACUUAUGUGUGCAUUUUGUAUGCAGAUUAACUGAAUUUUGUGUCUAUGCUUUUAAUUCAGUCCAUCAUAAAACGCCUAAAAUUUAAUUUGGAUUUCUUCAUGUAUCAAUGUUGUUAUGUGUAAUUGUGUGCUAUAAGCGUGUGUGGUGGUCUGCAUUACUUGUCUGUUUCGUUGUGAACAGAGGAACUGUUUAACAAGCAGAAAAUCUCAUUUCCAUUUUCUGCACAUGGUCUCCUCAACCACAGACUCAUGUGUUUAAUGGUGAAUUUCUGCCACAGUUGUGUUAAGUGUUAUGAUUUUGGAGGAUUCCUGAGUCCACAAGCAUCUCGGUAACAUCAAAUAUGUUUUACUGAAAAUCAUUAUGGAUGCAUCAUAACUAUACUGAAAUCUCAGUUACUAUAGUACAAGUGAAGUAUCAAUUAAGAAAGUAAUUUUUAAUAAUUUAAUUAUUUUAUUCAUUGAAUUAGUUUUGCCUUACUUUGUACCUACAGUAGAAAAUCGUACAGUGAUAUUAAGUCAGUUAAGGACAAUGACAGUCAGGUGAUUUUAAUUUACAUUAUCAGUGCUUAUGAAAGAAGGUGAGGCAUUUAUCAUUGGACAGCAUAAUACAUUGACUCAUACAUGUGAUUUAUCAGCAGGUUCCUUGUUACAUCCCACUAGCGAUACAAUAAGCGGGUGUCAGAGAGCUGAAUAAAUUGAAAUGAAAUCAAGGACAGAAUAAUUGAAAUUCAUAAAUAUCCACAGGUGAAUAUUGGUCAAGGGACACAUAUAAUCAGAGAAAAGUGAAAUAAUUCAUAGCACCAGCCUGAUACUAAGUGCAAGUGCACUUUUUAUGCCAUGGGUACUGCAUUAACCUGAUUUAAAGUUAUUUAUUAUUGUAACAUAUGAAUAUUAAACUACUGAAUUAACGUUGGUUUUCUCAUGUUCUGCAAAUGAAGAUUUUUGUACCAAAUUAAAAUUCGUUUUGUAUUUACCAUGUUUUCCCAUCUCUCCCCUGUGUAAACUGUGAAUUGGCUGUGAUUUAAGAGCUUACAGAGGAAAUAAGGGUAUACUUGGCAAAUGAGAUUUGUAACAGGAAAGAAGGGGUCACCAGUUGUGUGGUAGUUUAUUGUAUACAGUAUACAGAGCUGAAAAAUAAUAAAAUAAUGUAUUUCAUCUACAUCUUAACAUGACACAUUAUAUUAUUGUGUUGGAUAUCAUGCUUUAUGUUCAGAAGGUACACACACUGCUAAAUUCAUAGUUAAAAACUACAAAUCAUCAUGACUCAGUUCCUGCAAGUGAAUGCUGGAAUGGUAUCAGUAAUGGUGGCAGCAGUGGCAGUGGUGGUGGUGGUGCUGGUGGUUGUAGUAGUAGUAGUAGUAUUAGUAUUUUCUGCUAAAACACCAUAACUAUGAGACCAGAUUAUUAUCUUUUGUCUGAUUCUGACUGGUAGCUUUUGUUGCAGUUGUCUUUAAUUUCUGCAGCACACAGCAGGGAUAUGAAGACAACUGUUAUCUGGGAUGUGAUGCUGUAUCUGGUUGAGGUUGGCUGACACUUCAGAGAACUAUGCUGCCUCUGUCCAUUGAUUGAAGAGUAAGCCAAGCAUGCUACCAACAAGAAGUAGGCAGCUCAGUUUCCUGCUGGUUACUUGCUUGAUUUACUUUUUGAUCUUAAGGUGGAGGUGGUAUAUUUUACAAGGAAGCUUAGUGAACUUCUACUGGACUACAUGGUGCAGUAUUCCAGAAUAGAGUACUCUUCAUAAUCACUGUGAAAACCUCUAAUCCAGCAUAGUUGUGAGGUAGUUCCUUAAAAAAGACCAGAGUUACUACAUCCUAUACCUAUAUGCUAUAUAAUGUCAAUGCUUCUUUUGUCGUUCUCCAGUUAUCUGUCUGCUUAUACCCAUUGCUAGUGAGCCAUAAUUCAUGCAAAUCUCUAUAAUAUGUAAGUAUGAACGACUUCAUAGAAAAAGUAGUUGACUUUUACUUCACAUACCUUGAACAAUUUGUAGCAUGUCAUUGACGUGUUAUAUUGGAAGAAAUUUCUGUCAUUUCAAAGGAUCCUGGUAUCUGGAUAUGGAGCCAGUAAGUUUCUGUAAAUGCUGAAAGUUUAUUUCAUAUCACAAAGGACUGGAUAUUGUUGUAGGUAGCAGUGGAAGGUAUAUUUUAUACAAAAUAUCAAAUAAUUUCAAUAACAUCUGUAUUACAUUAACAACUAAAUUUACAAUAGAUUAAUGUGCAAAGAAAAUAAUGUUCCUUUUCCAGUCUCUGGUUAUUUCAUUCUAAUGUCUUUGUUGUGUCUCAUGUACAUGUUUGUGUCUGGGUCACUUCCCAGCCAUUGUCACUGCUUUCCUUAUUUUUUUAAGUAAAGCGAGACUUGUAGUAUACAUGUAUGUGUUCCUUAAUGUUCUAUUUACCCCACCCAUAAUAAUUUCUGAGCCAAAUGCCCAAAUGUCUUGAUUCUCAUACAUAUGACAUUCUGUUGGAGUCCCUCCAAUGUUCAUAGGUUUUGGGCUUGUAUUUUAGUGAUUCCCAGUUUGAACCUCAGCCAGGAGACCAACUGUCCUGACUGAGAUAGUUUAUAAUUUUCCUCAGGCCCUCUAGGCAAGUGCCAGGGUAGUAUCUCAAGUUAAGCCUUGUGUGCUUCCUUCCAUGCCUUUUUGAAUUCCUUAUUCACUAAUCGUACCACCUGACAGUGUACUCUAAGCUGCUGACAUUGUUGUUAAAUGAACCAUAAGUGCUUUAAAUGAACGAAGGUUUUUGACACCACCUGACUUCCAUGAGAGACUCUGAGAUCCACACUGCUUUGUAGAUGGAGCCAGUGGUUACAUAAUUUUUAUGUUGUAUGUAAAAUAAAGUGGCAAACACGUGAAGUGUAUUUGAUUUUCCAUAUGACAGUACCCGCUGAAGAAUGUAAGUGGGCACAUAAACUGUAAUAUAAUGAUGAAUCCCAAGCAUAGCUGCAGAUAAUUUUUUUAUGAAACAUUUCUUUGUGAUUGUAAAAGUUUUAAAAUAUGAGGUUAUUUGUGACAAUUUGAAUUAUUGAAGUAUGUAAUUGACAUACAUUAUUGUUAAUUUGUAAUUUGUCUUAACCCUUAUCUCCCAGUAUAUUUAAAAGAAAAUGGGAAUUGUAAAUUUUGAUGGUUUUCUGAGGGUUUGUAAGAGCAGUUAAUUCAUCAUACCAACAUAAUAUUGGUAUAAUUGUAAAUUCUCUGUGAAAUUUGUUUUAUUUUCCAACCUGCAAAGUACACUGUAGAGCUCUGACUUUAGUGUCUCUUCUGUGCUUCAUAUGUGCAUAUGUGUGCUUGCAAGAAAGAAGAAAGAGCAUAAAGUAUCUGGAAAUAUGUAGUAUUCUUCUUAUAUAAUAAUAUAUAUAAAUAUUACCUUAAACAUCUACUGGCAGACACAGACAUUCAAUUGAUGUUAAAUGCUAAUUACAUGUAUAUAUGUGAUGCAUUAACUUCAUUUGGUUUAACCAUAUCACAUAGUUUCUGUUUGAACUUUGAAGCAAAUGUGAUUUCUUAUGAUAUUUCUGAGGUUCUCACAGCAGCAGCUGUGACAGGUACUAUCUUCUGGAUUGUAAUGCCAUGUAGUUCAGAGAAAGCCCAACAUUGCAGAGGAACAUUAGGCUCUUUCUGAAUUAAUGGUGCUGUAGUCCAGAAGACCACACUUUUAUGAUUUCUUCUUCAAAAUUUCAGUUAAAAGAAUGGAAAAAAUUCAGAUACUUAUAAAUUUCACUGAUAAAAGUAAUGUUGCUGUGGACUGCAAGUAUAGGACAUCAUGACCACUGUAGUACUAUUUGAAGCAAACCUCUUGCUCUACAGUAGAAUGUAAGGAAUAAGUAUCAUUCUCAUAUUCAGUGUGUCUAUGGCACACAGACUCUGAGAAAGAUUCCACAGUUGUUUAAAAUCGCCACAUAUGUUUUGUUGGCAUAUUGUGCAGUCUGUACAAAUGGCUUUCAUCCUUAUCACUGCAGAAUAAAUUAGUAUUGCAAGUACUCAAACAUUGUUCCUGUAGCAAAAUGAACUGACUGGCUUCAUGUACUCUAUUCAUAUUAAACCUCAUCAUAUAGAGACUGUAGUGUUUUCUGCAUGGCUGACUUCAUCAGUUCAGUAAAUAUGAUUUUAAGGUAUUGUAGAAAGCCAAAAUUGGAUCCCAGCUGUUAUAUGUUAUUUGACUAACACAGGGCUCAGAUUGAUGAUUUAAUUUAUGGAACACUGAGUCUUAUUUACAAAUAAUAACACAGUUUACAAGUAUGCAUCAUCAGUUCAUAAUCCAUUAUAUUGCUCUUGCAUCGUUCCUUGCAGGCUGUCUGUAUAUUGCUUUAUUGUGGACCUAUUAGAGUGCACUGCCCCUAACAGUUCCUGAACUAUUGUGCAUGUUCAUCAGUGGCAGGGAUUGGUGGUAGUGCGCAUACAUGGCUAUUAGUGAUGCUUUAUAUUACCUAGCAAUGGACACCUAUACGUUAUCUCUCCAGUGCCAAGAUUCUGACUUUUAGGUGUCAUAUCACAGUAUUUUAAGGUUACUCUAUCCAAAUUCCAGUCUUCCACGUUGAAUUUUAGGUCAUAAACAUUGUUUGAUUAUAUCUUUCUUACAGUGCUGUACUGUAUAUGCUCAUGGAUACAAGGGAGGAACAGAUGAUUUCAGAUAUCAUAAAGAUAUAUAACCAUUUCCGUUUCUUGUACUGCAUAAAUUAUUCUAAGAUAAAUUUGUUUGAGGGUAGGAUAGAUUCAUUGCUCUUAUAUUUUUGACAUCCAUGAUUUUAUUCUGUGAUUGUAAUUGUUUAUGUUAGGAAAUAAUUUAAACCCAUACAUUGGUUAAAAAAUGUAGUCUAGCUUCUCAUUAGUUACUACCCCUACAUUUGUAUGGAAUGUACAUAGAAAACAUAGGAAGAAACAUGAUUAAGGUUGAAGUUCAGGCUCAUUUUAAUAAAAUAUGGCGCUCAGAGACUGAAGCAAACAUUACCAUAUGUGUUACAAAUUUUAGUCCCUGUUUGAAAGUAUUGCCACAUUGUUAUAUCCCGUCUCUUCCAAAUAGAGUGUAUCCAGACGAAUACCAUAUCCCCCCCCCUCCCAUUUUCUUUAUCUGUGCUGAAAAGAAAUUGUAACCAGGGGAGAUUCCUUGGAAGAGGUUGUGCAUUACAAAAGUAAAGUGAAUAAUUGUUUUGCAUUUUAUGUGGCAUAUUUUUAAAAUUUUGUGUUCUUCAUAAUCAGAAUUAAAAUUGUCAUAGUUUUUGCACAUUGCUGACACAAGAACCCAAAACUGAAUACACGUCUUCACUUUCAGAAUCUGUGUUAGUGCAAAAGUUCAAAUAUUCUUUAAUAUUGUAUAUGAAACCCAACCUUGGGGACAGAAGAGGAUCUUGUCAUUUGAAGGAGAAAGCUCUAGAUCGCAUUAAGUGGAGGAAUUGUUUUGGAAGAGACUGCGGGCCUGUCGUCUGACAGAUUACUGAUGAUGAUGAUGAUGAUGAAACCCAGCUUGAUGUAUGUUAGUGAUCUUGUUUUGUGUUUGCAGAGGACACAGACAAUGGGGAUGUUUUUUCUCAGUAUCUCAUAAAUGGAAUUGAUUGUCGUAUGGCCCCAGUGCAGGCUUCCUUUUUCAGCUUCCAUAAUUGUAAAAGAAUUUGAAUGGUGUUUACCUAAACAGUUUUUAAAGUAAAAUGGGAGAGGAAUGGCAAUAGGAAGGACAAAUAAAUGGGUUAAGAAAGGAAGGAUAGAGAUAAAGAUACAGGAGAGAUAAAAGAAAAGGAGAUAAUGAAGAUAUGAAGGAAAUUAUUUUCCUCAAGAAGCUAAACAAGUCAUAGUCAGGUGGUGGGAUAUCCUGAGAUCCUUAAUAUGAACGUAUUAUUGUUCACUGACCUUUGUAUUGGGAGUUAAAGCUUAACAUUAGAAUUAAAGUUGUCUGUAAACAGUAAUAAAUGAAGAGACUCCAUUGAAUUCUGAAUGGGCAUUAUACUAAUGAAAAUAUAUUGCAGAUUGUUGUAUGUCUUAGUGUGGUUUGUAACUUUUUACCACAUACUUGUUGAUUCAGUUUUUCAAGUGCACUUAAAAAGUAGCCACUUGAACAGAAACAUUCACGUAAGAAGUUAAUUUACUUUGUCUCACAAUAGAUAUCCUAACCUUCUUUCAUAGGUUGCUGGAAUUUGGUUCAUAAACUGAGGUGUCUGUCUUGUUUUGAUUGAAAUUUAUGUUUAUGAUUACUUAACAUUUAGUUCAAUACAGAAAAAAUUAAACUGUGUUAUACAGUGUUCCUUAACAUUACUUUAAGAGUGUGUGAGACCAUUGGUUCAGAACCUUAAGUUAUGUAAUAUUGAUUUACAGUUCAUUCUGUUGGAAGUUCUGAUGAAGUUAAAUUGAUUUUGCGAAGAGCAUUCACCCACUAAUGACAGUGGAAAACCCUUGAUUUGCAUAGUCCAAAAUUGAUAAUUGGUAAUAAUGAGCAAUUUCAGAAGGAAAUCAGGCAUAUCCUGGAGACACGUGGGGCAGAGGUGAUAAUCAUCUUCAUACUCUGCCUACUUUACUCUUAAUGAAAAGAGCCACAGUAUGUACUGGGACAGGUUGGUGGAAACAUGGCCAGUUUGGAUAUAAUGAUGGCCAAAUAUUAAUCACAUUAUUCAGUCUUGAAAAAAUGUAUAAACCUAUUCAUAUCAUUUGAGUCCUCAGUGAGUGUCUGUCUUCAUGACCGGAAUUUUUCGUAGUGGUUAUCUCUUCAUCAAGACAAAUUCUGUAAUUAGGAUGGUGUGGUUAGGAUGCCUGCAGGAUUCUUCAAGCAAGUUCCACCAUUACUACAAAGCAGUCCAGUACUGCAAAAUGCUUAUUUUACUGUCACAAGUCAGCAAUAGUCAUCAUCAGGUAGGAGUGCGACUCAGAAGCGUUGGCGAUUUUGUAUCUGUUCAUUUGUGUUUACCAUAUAAUUUAUUGCUGAUAGAAUUGAUCGGCAGUGCAGAGAUCUGUGUCAUAGCUCAGGUGAUUAGCAGCUGGCCUUCCAUCAUGGCAUCCCAGUUUACAUUAUGUGGGAUUUGUGGUGAACAAAGUGGCAAGGUGGGGGGAAAGAUUUCUCAGAGUAGUUCAGUUUCUCCCUGCCAGUUCUGUUUCAACCAACUGCUCCGUUUCGUUAAUCAUUCUACAGUUAGCACUAUGUAGUCUCAAUAUUGACAGCAUUAUUAAGUAAAUUUUUAACACAAACCACUGCUGCUAUUACAUAAAGCCAUAAAUUAUAUUAUUGAAAAAGCUAACCAAUAGUGGAGAGAGAAUAGUUUUUAUGUGUUCUUUCAUUAAUUAUACAUUAUAUAAAAAUGUUAGGCCAUUUGUGACACACGUAACACAAUUCAGUUUGAGCAUCAUGUAAAGUAAGGCUUAUAUUAAACUAAUUUCAGUCUGGUGACAUUCAUGUGGCAAGUUUUGGUAUAGACAGUGUGCAAUUUCACCAGAAUCCUUUCUGUAACUUUAGAUAGUAAACAAACAUGGAUGAUUGUUCACAACCUUCCCAGUAUGCAUUCAUUUCUUGUACCGUCUCCUGAGAUUGCAUAAAAAUGUGCAGUAAUACAUUUGUUAUUUUUGACGCAUCUGCAGUUGAUUUUAUUAGUUUAUACUGAACUGCAUGAUUCUGCUUUCUGGUUCUUAUGUUAUAAAUUUGGAGUAUGUAGCAGCAGAUCUCAGUUUGGAAGAAUGAGUUGUAAAUUUCUCCUACCGACACAGUAAUGCCAGUUCUCUUCCACAUUAGGGACAUGUAGAAAGUAAUAUCAUACACACAGAGUUCAGUGGAUGGUAAAUUUUAGUCUGAAGCCAUGGCAUACUUGUAGUUUGAAACCAGUAUAAAGUUACCAAAUAUAGAAUGAGUUUAAUUCUUGGAAUUAAGUCUUUGUGAUUGGUUUAUGUUGUAUAUUUAUGAGAAUGAACUGUGAAUGAAAGAUGAAGGUUCAGGAUCAUUGGUUCAUAAUGAAUGAACACAGGAUUUGUAUGACAAACAAAAGUUGAAUAUUUGCAUGCACAUUUUUCAAGAAACGUAAAAUGAAUAGUAAGAACACGGCAUUAUCAUAGCGUAAGUGAAUAUCCUUUUCGACAUUAACUUACAGAGUGCUGGAUUAUGUGUUUUGCCCGAGUGUUAUUAGGUCUGAAGUUCUUAGUUUGUAGCCCACAUAUCCAGUUACCCUACCAGAAUACCAUGUAUGUGGCCACGGGAGUUAUCUGCUUUGCUGUUCUCGUUAGCACAUUGACAUUCUCUACUAUUUUUUUUUCUUAUUUAUCAUCACUUUAUCUUAAUUUGCUCAAUCAUGCCUUGUGUUGUUCUUACUUAUAGCAAGCAAUUUCAGCGUAAAAAUCACUUUCCAGUGUCUGUGGCAAACCAAGCAAAAUAAUCCAUAACAUAUUUCAGAGAAUAAUUUCAAGGGCUUACGUUGACCUUUUCAGGUUCUGAACUGACGUAUGACAGCGUUUCUACAACAUUAGUACAGAUUAGCUGAUAAAUGUUUAUAAUACAAUUUAUACAGGUUUAAACUCACAGUAGCCAUAUACUCAUAGCAUCUACAGUUAUAUGAAAGUUCAUUGCCUUGUUACAUAAGUGAAAUGCUGUUCUUGUAUUCCAGUGGACUUUUAAAGCAUCGUAUGAAGUGGGAACAUCAUUUAUUUAAAUGUCAUAACAUUGCUAGCUCUGCCUCUCUUUGCUUCAUGCUGUACAAAUAGUUGCUAGAUUUUUCUGCAUUAUGCAAUUAAAAAAAUCAAUUAUGUUCACGCAUUUGUAAUAAGAGUGGUAUCACAUAAUAAUUUAAAGAUCUUCUAUUGUAAAAGUUCUUCAGUAACUGGAUGACAAAGAAUUAAGCAUAUAUGCAUCACAUGUGUAAGAGAAUCCUUUGUUGGAUCUUAAUACUAGGUGGUUCAAAUAUGACCGGGACUGAUUUAAAAAAAAAAACAACGUAAUUGCCAAACACUUACU